rnacentral:rRNA from 1 species
UACGUAGGGGGCAAGCGUUGUCCGGAAUUAUUGGGCGUAAAGCGCGCGCAGGCGGUUCUUUAAGUCUGGUGUUUAAACCCGAGGCUCAACUUCGGGUCGCACUGGAAACUGGGGGACUUGAGUGCAGAAGAGGAGAGUGGAAUUCCACGUGUAGCGGUGAAAUGCGUAGAUAUGUGGAGGAACACCAGUGGCGAAGGCGACUCUCGUGGGCGAUAACUGACGCUGAGGCGCGAAAGCGUGGGGAGCAAACAGG